rnacentral:rRNA from 1 species
UCACCAGACUCCUACGGGAGGCAGCAGUGGGGAAUAUUGGGCAAUGGGCGCAAGCCUGACCCAGCAACGCCGCGUGAAGGAAGAAGGCUUUCGGGUUGUAAACUUCUUUUGUCAGGGAAGAGUAGAAGACGGUACCUGACGAAUAAGCCACGGCUAACUACGUGCCAGCAGCCGCGGUAAUACGUAGGUGGCAAGCGUUGUCCGGAUUUACUGGGUGUAAAGGGCGUGUAGCCGGGUUGACAAGUCAGAUGUGAAAUCCUGCGGCUUAACCGCAGAACUGCAUUUGAAACUGUUGAUCUUGAGUACUGGAGAGGCAGACGGAAUUCCUAGUGUAGCGGUGAAAUGCAUAGAUAUUACACAGAACACCGAUUGCGAAGGCAGCUUGCUAGGCCGGAUCUGACACUGAUGCACGAAGGCGUGGGGAUCGAACAGGAUUAGAUACCCGAGUAU